rnacentral:tRNA from 1 species
UCCCUGAUGGCUCAGCUGGUAAAGAAUCUGCCUGAAAUGCAGGAGACCCAAGUUCAAUCCCUGGAUUGGGAA